GUACAGCUUGCACCACCUCUGACCAGGAGCCCGUGUUGUUUUAUGACGUGGGCUAUAAUGUGCAGCAAUACAGUGUAUAAGUGGCUGACACCUCACAUUUCUGAGAGCUGAAGGAUCAUUUCUGCAUGCUGAAAAGGCCCUAUCUUAUUGCUUAUCCCAGGCUGGUAAAACAGCAGGCAUAUGUUAGUGAAUCUAUCUGUGGGAGGAAGGUGAAGCAAAAUGGGAAGUCCCUACUUAUUCUUGUACAAUGAUUUGUUUCAGUUGCCAAGCUCUGUUAAAUAAACUGCCAGUGUACCAAGCA